rnacentral:rRNA from 1 species
CGGACGGGUGAGUAAUGUCUGGGAAACUGCCUGAUGGAGGGGGAUAACUACUGGAAACGGUAGCUAAUACCGCAUAACGUCGCAAGACCAAAGAGGGGACCUUCGGGCCUCUUGCCAUCGGAUGUGCCCAGAUGGGAUUAGCUAGUAGGUGGGGUAACGGCUCACCUAGGCGACGAUCCCUAGCUGGUCUGAGAUGAUGACCAGCCACACUGGAACUGAGACACGGUCCAG